AUUGAACGCUGGCGGCAGGCCUAACACAUGCAAGUCGAGCGGAUGAAGGGAGCUUGCUCCUGGAUUCAGCGGCGGACGGGUGAGUAAUGCCUGGGAAUCUGCCUGGUAGUGGGGGAUAACGUCCGGAAACGGGCGCUAAUACCGCAUACGUCCUGAGGGAGAAAGUGGGGGAUCUUCGGACCUCACGCUAUCAGAUGAGCCUAGGUCGGAUUAGCUAGUUGGUGGGGUAAAGGCCUACCAAGGCGACGAUCCGUAACUGGUCUGAGAGGAUGAUCAGUCACACUGGAACUGAGACACGGUCCAGGCUCCUACGGGAGGCAGCAGUGGGGAAUAUUGGACAAUGGGCGAAAGCCUGAUCCAGCCAUGCCGCGUGUGUGAAGAAGGUCUUCGGAUUGUAAAGCACUUUAAGUUGGGAGGAAGGGCAGUAAGUUAAUACCUUGCUGUUUUGACGUUACCAACAGAAUAAGCACCGGCUAACUUCGUG
rnacentral:rRNA from 1 species